UACGGGAGGCAGCAGUGGGGAAUAUUGCACAAUGGGCGAAAGCCUGAUGCAGCUAUGCCGCGUGUAUGAAGAAGGCCUUAGGGUUGUAAAGUACUUUCAUCGGGGAGGAAAAAAACAAAACUAAUAAUUUUAUUUCUUGACGUUACCCGAAAAAGAAGCACCGGCUAACUCCGUGCCAGCAGCCGCGGUAAUACGGAGGGUGCUAGCGUUAAUCAGAAUUACUGGGCGUAAAGAGCACGUAGGUGGUUUUUUUAAGUCAGAUGUGAAAUCCCUGGGCUUAACCUAGGAACUGCAUUUUGAAACUGAAAUACUAGAGUAUCGUAGAGGGAGGUAGAAUUCAGGUGUAGCGGUGAAAUGCGUAGAUAUCUGGAGGAAUACCUGUGGCGAAAGCGGCCUCCUAAACGAAUACUGACACUGAGGUGCGAAAAGCGUGGGGAGCAAAACAGGGAUUAGAUACC
rnacentral:rRNA from 1 species